rnacentral:rRNA from 1 species
UAAUACGGAGGGUGCAAGCGUUAUCCGGAUUCACUGGGUUUAAAGGGUGCGUAGGUGGGCUAGUAAGUCCGUGGUGAAAUCCCCGAGCUUAACUUGGGAACUGCCAUUGAUACUAUUAGUCUUGAAUAUCGUGGAGGUAAGCGGAAUAUGUCAUGUAGCGGUGAAAUGCUUAGAUAUGACAUAGAACACCAAUUGCGAAGGCAGCUUGCUACACGGUCAUUGACACUGAGGCACGAAAGCGUGGGGAGCAAACAGG